AACGAACGCUGGCGGCAUGCCUAACACAUGCAAGUCGAACGAGACCUUCGGGUCUAGUGGCGCACGGGUGCGUAACGCGUGGGAACCUGCCCUUAGGUUCGGAAUAACUCCCCGAAGGGGGUGCUAAUACCGGAUAAUGUCUUCGGACCAAAGAUUUAUCGCCUUUGGAUGGGCCCGCGUUGGAUUAGCUAGUUGGUAGGGUAAAAGCUUACCAAGGCGACGAUCCAUAGCUGGUCUGAGAGGAUGAUCAGCCACACUGGGACUGAGACACGGCCCAGACUCCUACGGGAGGCAGCAGUGGGGAAUAUUGGACAAUGGGCGAAAGCCUGAUCCAGCAAUGCCGCGUGAGUGAUGAAGGCCUUAGGGUUGUAAAGCUCUUUUACCCGGGAUGAUAAUGACAGUACCGGGAGAAUAAGCUCCGGCUAACUCCGUG
rnacentral:rRNA from 1 species